GUUUGGAAAAGCUAAUUUUUGAAACUUGAAAUUUUUGUUUUGAUUUAUGGUCAUUCAGUUUAUUUUUGAAAGAUUUUCAUUCUUUGCUAAGUAACACAAUUUCUUCAAAACUUCAGAAUGAGUGUUUUAAUAAUUUUGGCUAUUUAAUCAUUAAAGUUUUAUGAAAAUAUUUUGUUUUAAUUUAAAUGAAAGUUUUUAAUGUUUAAUUUACUUAACUUGGAAAUUUAUAAAGAGUGUGUCUGUCUUUUUGUAACCACUGUUCUUUUUAUCCAACACACGUUAAACUUUCAGGCUGGACAACUGUCAAAAUGGAUCACCAUAAUUAUCAGCCAGGUCAAGGUCAAUCAGUAUAGAUAUCCAAUCAUUUCAGGUCAACAUUUUCUUUUAAAGUUUGGUCAUAGGUUAGAGGUUUAAAGUUCAGGUCAACAUUGACAAGAAUAGAAUGGUCAUUACUCCUUUAAAUGGUAGAGGUCUACUAGAUUUAAGAUCAAACUAUUUGUAAGAAUGGUUAUUUGUAAGGUCAAAGAUAUGCAGUGUCAGGUCAAGGCCAAUGUUUACUUCUACAGAAUGAUUAUAUCUGUUAGCAGGAUCACAGAUAUGAUUAAUUGCUUAAAAGCAACAAGCACAUGUAAGAAGCAUUUUCCUGCUAAACAGCUUUAAAUAUAUGUGUACCUAUUUUCACAAAAAUAACUCCCUUCCCCAAGGGUUGACUGGCGUAUAAAAAUAUGGUCAUCCCUUGGUCUUCUUCUGACCGUCAGUAAAACGCUUGCCAAAGAUUAGCCACCGUUUAGUUAAUACAUAGCCACAUCCUGUUAAAAUUUAAAAUCUAAAAGUUGCAUCUAAUACCAGAGUAAUUUUUAACCUGAAGUGUGACAGACGAACGAACAGACAAACAAAAGAACGGACCGACAAACAGAAGACCGGGUAAGACCAGAAAACAUAAUGUCCAUGUAUGGGGCAAAAAAAUCCAGCAUAACAGUGCAACAUUCCAUUUAGCUUUUGAAAUUUUGAUGAAAAAUACAAAAUAUUUCCUUUGACUCAUUUAAAACAUUAAAUUGUCACCCCCCUUUAGAAAGAAAAUGAACAUUAAAGUCCCCUACAUAAAUUUCAUAGUUUAAAUAAAGGAAUUUUUUUCAGCAAUUUUCACUUCUGGAUGAAGGAUAAAAUGACCACUUCUGUUUUAUAAUUCAUUGAGAGCAUUUAUAAAAAGUAACAGAUCAGAAGUCAAACAAAAAAAGAAAAUAUCACUAAUUUCCUAUUAAACAUCCCAAAAAUUUCGCAUUUGUUCAUUUUAACCUUGACCACUCUCUUAAAAUUUAAAAAAAUAUUAAAAAAGGUUUCUGUAUCUUAAUUUGGCAGCUUCUGAUAAAUUAAAGAAUAUAUUUGGUAUACAUCAAUGAGGGGUACUUAACAAACAACAAAAACAAGGCGUCUUUAGGUCAACAUAGUCUUCAACAAAGAUAGGCAUCUAUACAAUAUGUUUAGUGUUUAUAGUUCAAAAUUAGUCAACAAAAUUUACUAAAUAUCUAUAAAAAAAAAAAGUCGACAAAAUUUACUAAAUAUCUUUAAAGAAAAAAGUCAACAAAAUUUUACUAAAUAUCUAUAAAGAAAAAAGUCCACAAAAUUUACUAAAUAUCUUUAAAGAAAAAAGUCCACAAAAUUUACUAAAUAUCUAUAAAGAAAAAAGUCGACUAAAUUUACUAAAUAUCUAUAAAGAAAAAAGUCCACAAAAUUUACUAAAUAUCUAUAAAGAAAAAAGUCCACAAAAUUUACUAAAUAUCUAUAAAGAAAAAAGUCCACAAAAUUUACUAAAUAUCUUUAAAGAAAAAAGUCCACAAAAUUUACUAAAUAUCUAUAAAGAAAAAAGUCGACUAAAUUAACUAAAUACCUAUAAAGAAAAAAGUCGACUAAAUUAACUAAAUAUCUAUAAAGAAAAGAGUAGACAAAAUUAACAAAAUAUCUAAAAAAAAUAAUAAUAAAGCAAAAUAAUUAAAAAUUCUUUUUUCUUGCAAUGAAGUAAGUUUAAAAUUUUUAAUUCAGCAAAAGAUUUGGGCUUUCAACAACUUGAUGUGAAUGAUAUUGCAUUAUUAUAGUGUCUGAGUACAACAUUAUUACAUAACUUGCUGGGUUAAAAUUUCUUUUUUUACAAAAAUAUAAAGUAUAUCCAAAGUUAACACUGGCAAGUCAAGUAUAACAAUGUAUCUAACACUGCACAAUCUGCAUAAACCUGCAUACCUGCAUAAGAUAAUUAGCAUUGCAUAUAUAAAUUAACAUGUAAAGCUUAUGCUGGCUUGCUGAUGUUUUCUUUCAUUGUUCUAUUUAAUUAACUCCUAGCCCAAUAUAGCAACAUCUAUUUAAAAUUGACCUGGGACUUGGAUUUUGGGCAGGUAGGGAGGAAUAAGGGAAAUACCUUGGCCUGGGAUUUUAGGGCUUAAAGAAAGGGGAGGGGAAACCCAGGGACUCUGGUGAAGUGGGGAGAUAAAAGGAGAGGGGAAACCCAGGGCCUGGUGUAUUUGGGGAGAUAAAAGAGGGAGAAGGUUACAUCCAUGGCCUGGUGAACUGGGGGAGAUAAAAGAGGGAAUGGGGAAAGAGUUGCUGUCCAUUGAAUGAAGUAAGUUAUGUGUUAAUGUUGUAUUCACAUUGUUGUGAUGAUUUUAUUGUUGCUUUGAAGUUUGUGGAGCACAAAUACCCCAGUACUUUUGGAUAAAAAUGAUAAUGAAAAAAUAUUCCCGUUUAAACUUUCAGUUUUUAAUAAAGAUAUUCCAGUGUUCAAAUUAACCAUUAAAGUGGUCUUUCUUAAAGUUGUCAAACAAGAACCAAAGUGUACCUUUUAAACUUUAAAACAUCAAUUGAACAUUUCAUUAGAAACCUUUGGUUUAAACACUUAUGCGUGUUUCUGAAUUCCUUUCAUUAAAAUUGAGUAAAUAAAAUCUCACUCUAUUUAAACAAUUUUGUGUUGUAAAAAAACCACAAAAACAUACAAUUAAGUACUUGACCUAUAGUAUAGAAACUUGUUUUUGUUGGAGACUAUAUUGACCUCUGGAGUCCAGGUUUUUUGUGUUGUUUAGUUGCUGUCUCAAAAACAUAAUCCCUAAAGUCAUUUUCAAUUAAUAAUAGACAAAGGACAAAUUAUAAAAAACCCAGAAUAACCAAAUCCUUCAUAUUAACUUAUAAUAACUGUUAAAUUUUCCUUCAAAUUAAAUAUAUGUUUCACACAUCUCCUUCGUUGAGAUAAAUUUUGAUGUGAAACAGAGAUUGGAAGCUAAAUAUUUAAAAUUUAGAUUAAUUGAAAUAGCCUCCCCUCUUAAAAAAAAAUAAAGAACAAAUUUUAACAGAAAAAAGGGGGACGGAAACCUGAAGAUACAGAAUUUAAAUAAAGUGAUAAAAAGAUCCUCCGUCCUUUUCUAAGCUUCUUUUUAAAGUUUUAAAUUUGGUAAAUUAGAUGUUCCCUGAAUUUAGAGUAUCCAUGGGAACAUGUCCCAUUUUUACCAGAAAUUAAUAUACCCAUAGGAACAUUACAGUACAUGUUCCUCUUCAAAGUAAUAAAGGUAUCCAUUGGAACAUCGCAUGUUCCUCUCCAAAGUAAUGAAGGUAUCCAUAGGAACAUCACUUGUUCCUCUCCAAAGUAAUGAAGGUAUCCAUAGGAGCAUCACAUGUUCCUUUCCAAAGUAGUGAAGGUAUCCAUUGGAACAUCACAUGUUCCUCUCCAAAGUAAUAAAGGUAUCCAUUGGAACAUCACAUGUUCCUCUCCAAAGUAAUGAAGGUAUCCAUUGGAACAUCACAUGUUCCUCUCCAAAGUAAUAAAGGUAUCCAUAGUAAUAAAGGUAUCCAUAGGAACAUCACAUGUUCCUCUCCAAAGUAAUGAAGGUAUCCAUAGGAACAUCACAUGUUCCUCUCCAAAGUAAUAAAGGUAUCCAUAGGAACAUCACAUGUUCCUCUCCAAAGUAAUAAAGGUAUCCAUAGGAACAUCACAUGUUUCUCUCCAAAGUAAUGAAGGUAUCCAUAGGAACAUCACAUGUUUCUCUCCAAAGUAAUGAAGGUAUCCAUAGGAACAUCACAUGUUCCUCUCCAAAGUAAUGAAGGUAUCCAUAGGAACAUCACAUGUUCCUCUCCAAAGUAAUAAAGGUAUCAAUAGGAACAUCACGUUUCUCUCCAAAGUAAUGAAGGUAUCCAUAGGAACAUCACAUGUUUCUCUCCAAAGUAAUGAAGGUAUCCAUAGGAACAUCCCAUGUGUCUUACCAAUGUAAAUAAGGUAUCCAUAGGAACAUGGGAGCCUCGGUGGCCAAGUGGUCUAAGUAGUUACUACUGUAAUCACUAGCCAGUCAACACUGAGGUUGUGAGAUCGAACCCUGCUCGUGCGGGUGCACAUGACUCCAAUCUUAAUUGACUUAGGGUUGUUAGUUUUCCUAUUGAAGGUCAGUGGUUUUCUCCAGGCACUCUGGCUUCCUCCACCAAUACAAACUGGCCGCCAUGAAAUAGCCAAAGUAGUGCUUAAAAGUGGUGUUAAAACACCAAAAAAAUCAAAUUCAAAUCCAUAGGUGCACUGCAUUCUCCAAAUUUACUGGUAUCUGAUAUCCAUUGGAAUCCAAAUUUAGUUGUUCAGUUUGUAUUGAUGACAGAAUUGGCUUUACAAUGAACUUUGAACUCAAAGAAAUGGAUACACAUGUUUCAGAAAAGUAAGUUUGGUGCCUAUAUCUCUUUUCACACUUUUGUUGUUUUUAAAUAAUUUGUAAAUUUUAUUGUAAAUGUAACAUAUUUAAGUUGUCAAAUUUUUGUGUAAAAAGGGGAAUGACCAUUUCAAAACUGUUUUUCAAUAUUUUUGUUAAAGAUUUUCAGAAGGAAACAGAAAAAUUAUUUAUGAAAAUGUGGUACGUGUCAAAUGUGUAUAUAGUUUUAAGAAAAAUAGAAAAAAACAAAAAAAUGCAUGGGUGAUGGUAUUUAAUGAUUUUAAGAAAAAUAGAAAAAAAAAAAAAAUAUGCAUGGGUGAUGGUUUUUAAUGAUUUUAAGAAAAAUAGAAAAAAAAAAAAAUAUGCAUGGGUGAUGGUUUUUAAUGAUUUUAAGAAAAAUAGAAAAAAAAAAAAAAUAUGCAUGGGUGAUGGUUUUUAAUGAUUUUAAGAAAAAUAGAAAAAAAAAAAAAAUAUGCAUGGGUGAUGGUUUUUAAUGAUUUUAAGAAAAAUAGAAAAAAAAAAAAAAUAUGCAUGGGUGAUGGUUUUUAAUGAUUUUAAGAAAAAUAGUAAAAAAAAAAAGAAAAAAAAAAUAUGCAUGGGUGAUGAUUUUUAAUGAUUUUAAGAAAAAUAGAAAAAAAAAGAAAAAAAAUGCUUGGGGUUUAAUUAUAUCGUGAUGCAGAAAUGGGUCCAUUAUUUUAACUUGAAUUUGGGAUUUAAUUAUAUCAUGAUAUGGAAUGGAUACAUUCUUUUAACUGGAAUUUGGGAUUUAAUUAUAUCAUGAUACGGAAUGGAUACAUUCUUUUAACUGGAAUUUGGGAUUAAAUUAUAUGAUACGGAAUGGAUACAUUAUUUUAACUGGAAUUUGGGAUUUAAUUAUAUCAUGAAACAAAAUGGAUACAUUCUUUUAACUUGAAUUUGGGAUUUGAUUAUAUCAUGAUACAGAAUGGAUACAUUCUUUUAACUGGAAUUUGGGGGAUUUAAUUAUAUCAUGAAACAGAAUGGAUACAUUCUUUUAACUGGAAUUUGGGAUUUAAUUAUAUCAUGAUAUGGAAUGGAUACAUUCUUUUAACUGGAAUUUGGGAUUUAAUUAUAUCAUGAUAUGGAAUGGAUACAUUCUUUUAACUUGAAUUUGGGAUUUAAUUAUAUCAUGAUACGGAAUGGAUACAUUCUUUUAACUGGAAUUUGGGAUUUAAUUAUAUCAUGAAACGGAAUGGAUACAUUCUUUUAACUUGAAUUUGGGAUUUAAUUAUAUCAUGAAACGGAAUGGAUACAUUCUUUUAACUGGAAUUUGGGAUUUAAUUAUAUCAUGAAACGGAAUGGAUACAUUCUUUUAACUGGAAUUUGGGAUUUAAUUAUAUCAUGAAACGGAAUGGAUACAUUCUUUUAACUGGAAUUUGGGAUUUAAUUAUAUCAUGAUACGGAAUGGAUAAUACAUUCUUUUAACUGGAAUUUGGGAUUUAAUUAUAUCAUGAAAUGGAAUGGAUACAUUCUUUUAAAUUGAAUUUUGGAUUUAAUUAUAUCAUGAAACGGAAUGGAUACAUUCUUUUAACUGGAAUUUGGGAUUUAAUUAUAUCAUGAUAUGGAAUGGAUACAUUCUUUUAACUGGAAUUUGGGAUUUAAUUAUAUCAUGAAGGACAUGAUACGGAAUGGAUACAUUCUUUUAACUGGAAUUUGGGAUUUAAUUAUAUCAUGAUACAGAAUGGAUACAUUUUUAACUGGAAUUUGGGAUUUAAUUAUAUCAUGAAACGGAAUGGAUACAUUCUUUUAAAUUGAAUUUGGGAUUUAAUUAUAUCAUGAACCAGAAUGGAUACAUUCUUUUAACUGGAAUUUGGGAUUUAAUUAUAUCAUGAUACUGAAUGGAUACAUUCUUUUAACUGGAAUUUGGGAUUUAAUUAUAUCAUGAUACGGAAUGGAUACAUUCUUUUAACUGGAAUUUGGGAUUUAGUUAUAUCAUGAAACAGAAUGGAUACAUUCUUUUAACUGGAAUUUAGGAUUUAAUUAUAUCAUGAUACGGAAUGGAUACAUUCUUUUAAGUGGAAUUCAGGAUUUAAUUAUAUCAUGAAACAGAAUGGAUACAUUCUUUUAACUGGAAUUUUGGAUUUAAUUAUAUCAUGAUACGGAAUGGAUACAUUCUUUUAACUUGAAUUUGGGAUUUAAUUAUAUCAUGAAACAGAAUGGAUACAUUCUUUUAACUGGAAUUUGGGAUUUAAUUAUAUCAUGAUACAGAAUGGAUUCAUUCUUUUAACUAAAAUUUUGGAUUUAAUUACCGGUAUAUCAUGAUACAGAAUGGAUACAUUCUUUUAACUUGAAUUAAAUAUAAUUAAGAGUAUACAUUUUUAUUUCUGAGGAUUGUUUUGAUAUAUGUAAGUGAACAGCAACCAACAACACAAACAAAAAAACGUCAAAAGAUUAGUUAAUGCAUUUUAAAUAAAGAUAAAUAAUGUUAAUACCUUUUGUCCUUCAUUUGGAAAUUUCAAGAUAAAUAAUAUGGAAAUUUAUAAAUGAAGACGAAUAAUGAUAUAUUCCCUUUAAAUUUUAAUAAAACCAUAAUUCAUGUCUGAUGUUAAAGAUAAAGUUAAAAAAUGGUGAAAUAAUUUUUCAAAUUUUAGAUCAAAUUGCCCUUAAAAAUCAGACGUAGAACAUAUAUGUAUCAGCUAUUCCUAAACCAUUUUACAGAUUUUUAAAGGAACUUUCAGAACAGAACAUUUAAGAUAACAAUUUCGUAAUGCAAGGUUUAUCAGUAUAAUUUUGGGAAUUUCCCAAAGUAAAGGAUGUUAGUCUGAGAAAGAUCUCCAACCCUUCCGGAUACAUUAUUCUGACUCAGAGUCAACUAGACUUUGCUCUUACUUUUAAAUACUACUUGCUUAAGGGAGAAGCAGCAAAUACCCCUUUUAAAGUCUUUGGUUUGUCCAUACAUGGGAUAGAGCCCUUUACCUCCAACACAUCAGGCAAGCAUAGGACCAUUGAGGUGGUUAUAAUUGGUAGUGAAAAGUAUUCUUUUUAAAAUAUUCAUAUUCAUUUUAUUUUUGUUUAUUUGUUCAUUCUGUUGUUCAAUUCCUAGUAGUAACAGAAAACAUCAAUUUUUAUAUUUGGUUUAAAAAUAUUUAAUUGAAAAGUAUGUCUCCAUGCAAAAUUAUCCAUCCCUCUACAGGUUGUAUCUUAAUAUAAAAAACAUCUUAUUCUUAAAGUAUCAACACUAACCAUUACUAACAAUUGGUACUUAAUUAAAUAGGUUGGAAGGAUGGAAGACAAGAGAGGGAGAGAAAUGAGAAGGGAGAGGGGAGGGGAUAGGGGAGAGAGAAUAGAGACUGAUGGAGUGAGUUUUCAGAUAAGGGUUUAAGGUACUAGUCUUGUAGAGGGAUAGGUUUUUAAUAUCUUCUUUUAGAAAGAGAACUUCUUGUUAACAAUAUGAAUAUGAGUAGGAAUACAAACCAAUUUUUAUUUUUGGUAUGCAAAUCCAGUCUGAAAGUCUUUGUUUUAAAAUAAUGGGUCUAUUACAUAUCAAAAUUAUUUCCAAGUCUGUAAAAUUUUUGUGACCCCAGUGGCCAAUCCAGGGGUUGGGGUUGGAACCCCCUUUUUUUUUUAAUGAUAAUGCAUUUGAAUGGGGAUAUAUAUUUAAAACCCGCACUUUCUCCUGGGUUGGACCCCCUUUUUUUUAAAGAUUGCUGGUUCCGCCCCUGAACCCUUUCUCCCUUCCUAUUUGGUAAAGACAUAUAAGAUUGUGUCCAUAGUACACGGAUGCCCCAUCCGCACUAUCAUUUUCUAUGUUCAGUGGACUCUGAAAAUGGAGGAAAAAACUCUAAUUUGGCAUUAAAAUUAGAAAGAUGAUAUCAUAGGGAACAUGUGUACAAAGUUUCAAGUUGAUUGGACUUCAUCAAAAACUUUAACCUGAAGCAGGACGAACGAACGGAGGCACAGACCAGAAAACAUAAUGCCCAUAAAUGAGGCAUAAUAAAUGUUUGCAUUGGAAAACUCCCUUAAUAAUUUGUAUAACAACAGCCAGUCUAGCCUGUCAUAAUUCAGUAACUACAAGCUAUUUAUCUAUUCUGGAAAGAUAUGACUGUUUCAACGCCACUUGUAGUACUCCUGGCUAUUACAAGGCUGCCAGUUUUUAUUGGCGGAAGCCAUAUAAAUGGCACCUGAAAAAACACCGACCUUCAGUGUCUUUUAAUGUUGUCCAAAGUUUCUGUUGAAAUGUUUGUACUGGUUUGAGGUAUUGCUGAUUAAAAGUGUAGAUGUCUGAAUAAACAAAAAACAUCCUUUAUCAUGUUUUAGAUUAAAAAGUAAUUAUAUCCAAAUUUCCAAUUUAGUUUCAGCACAAACGUUAAAGAUAAUUGUUGCAGAAUUAAGCUCUUUUUUAUUUAAAGGAAACAAUAUAAGAUUUUAAAUUUUGAAUCUUCCAAAAUAAAUCUUUUCAGUUUUGUAAAGUGGUACAUUGUGAAAUUUAUAAUUAAAAAAACAAAUCUUUUCUAAUAAUAAGGGACAUAACUCUCCAAUGGUAAAAAAAUACUAAACCCAUUAAAAUAAUGUAAAUGCUUAAAGCAGCUUUCAGAUUUGUUAGUUUGUAAAUACAAAAUUAGCCUCCUCCUGGCCAAAUGAAACUUAAUUAACUUUGUAAUAGAAUUUUCCAUGCCAAAAACACUUUUAUUGGAUAAAAAAUAUGAAGUAAAAACACUGACCUUUAUAAUCUUAAGCUUUUUUGGUACGAGAAAAAAAUUUAUCAAAGAUACUUAUUAUUUGGCCACAUUUAAUAAUUUUUUAGACACCUAUUAUCACAGAAUAGAAUUUUUGCCAUCUUAAUUAUAUUGUUAAGUGUGUUGUUGGCAUGCUGUCUCAUUGAAAUAUACCUCAAAUCCUCUUUUAUCUUAUUCAAGAUUUUCAGAAAAGCAAUUUAAAAAUCUGUUAAAGGUUUAUUCUCUAAAUAAAUAGAAUAAUUGGUCCAGUGGUCAAUGAAGAAUGCCAAUGAGAUGUGGUAAAAAUGCCAUUGAGAUGUGCUUAGAAUGCCAUUGAGAUGUGGUAAAAAUGCCAAUGAGAUGUGCUUAGAAUGCCAAUGAGAUGUGUUAAUACAACCAAUGAGAUGUGUUAAUACAACUAAUGAGAUGCGCUAAGAAUGCAAAUGAAAUGUGGUAAAAAUGCCAAUGAGAUGUGGUUAUAAAGCUAAAGAUAUGUUGUAAUAAUGCUAAUGAGAUGUGGUAAUAAAGCUAAUGAGAUGUGGUAAUAAAGCUAAUGAGAUGUGGUUAUAAAGCUGAUGAGAUGCGCUAAGAAUGCAAAUGAGAUGUGGCUAUAAAGCUGAUGAGAUGUGCUAAGAAUGCAAAUGAGAUGUGGUUAUAGAGCUAAUGAGAUGCGCUAAGAAUGCAAAUGAGAUGUGGUUAUAAAGCUAAAGAUAUGUGGGAAUAAUGCUAAUGAGAUGUGGUAAUAAAGCUAAUGAGAUUUGGUUAUGAAGCUGAUGAGAUGCGCUAAGAAUGCAAAUGAGAUGUGGUAAUAGAGCUAAUGAUAUAUGGUAAUAAAGCUAAUGAGAUGUGGUAAUAAAGCUAAUGAGAUGUGGUAGUAAAGCUAAAGAGAUGUGGUAAUAAUGCUAAUGAGAUGUGGUUAUAAAGCUAAAGAUAUGUUAUAAUAAUGCUAAUGAGAUGUGGUAAUAAAGCUAAUGAGAUGUGGUUAUAAAGCUGAUGAGAUGUGGUAAUGGAGCUAAUGAGAUGCGCUAAGAAUGCAAAUGAGACGUGGUAAUAGAGCUAAUGAUAUGUGCUAAGAAAGCUAAUGAGAUGUGGUAAUAAAGCUAAUGAGAUGUGGUAAUAAAGCUAAUGAGAUGUGGUAAUAAUGCUAAUGAGAUGCGCUAAGAAUACUAAUGAGAUGUGGUAAUAAUGCCAAUAAGAUGUGGUUAGAAUUCCAAUGAGAUGUGGUUAGAAUGCCAAUGAGAUUUAGUAAGAAUGCCAAUGAGAACUAUCCACCAGAGAUUGAGCCACAAGGCUGCAAGAACUAUCUAUCUUUCAUGUGAAUUUUGUGUAUAAUUUGUAAGCUCCCCUACAGCUGAUAGUUAACAUUUUCAUCAAAUUAUGAUUUAAAUUAUCCUUUCUUUAAAUAAAAUUAUUUGGUAAUUAAACUUUUUUAAAUAAACAUUGAAAAAGCUUCUAAAUUUUCUGAAAAAAUUACAUUAAAUAGGCACUUUUGAAUUUUUUGCCUACCGGUAUUUAAAAAAAAAUAUACCAGUAAUGGCACAAUGAUAGAAGAUGUGUGGAAUCAAAUAGGUAACUAUAGUGAUAAUGAAAUAUUCUAAUAAUAACCAGUUUUUUAAUGUCUUGACUUAAUGGACUUAUUGUAUGAUGAUAUAUGCGACCAGUUAGAAAAGUGGACAAUGAAAUAUUCAAACAUGGAACUGACUGAAGUUAAUAGACUUAAAAUUCAGAAUUGAAACCAGCAAGUGAAUUAUUGACAUUUGUUUUGAUGUGACCAGUAUUCAUGUGGAUGGACAGUACUAGUGGACUAUAAACUGAUAAAUCUCACAGAAAGGCACAUCACAACUGAGUCUGAAGCUGUUACAUACAAAAGACAAGAUAUCCAGGAAAUAAGAAUUGUAUGUGAUCUAUUUAAAGAUCUUAGGACAGUAGGACCUGGAAGUACUAUAUUACCAACUUCAAGAUUAACUGAGCUUGAGAAAUUACAAAUCAACUGAUGCAGAAGAAGAGACUUUGCCAUGUGGAUGGACUUGGAAACAAUUAUUGACAAACAAUAUAGUGUAUUAGUAUUCUUGUAAAAAUCAAUAGAGAGAGAGAGAGAGAGGAAGGAUAGGAGAGAGUCAGUUGUAAAGAUUUAUGUCUUUUCAACCAGACAUGUCGAUUACAUUAGAAUUUCAGAGGCCUACAGUUCUCCCUUAAAUGAUCAUAGUUAAUACAUGAAGUAGUUAAAGUAGAGGACUUUAGUGUGACCAGUGAGAACAAUCAGGCAGCUGCCAUUGGUUUAAAUCUCUUUUUUCGAAGAUGUUUUGGUUACAUUAGAAUAAAUCUGUGAGGAAUGACAAAAAAAAUGUUAAAAAAAUAAUUUGUGGUAUUUUGUACAGUUUCAUUAUGCAAUCUUGAAUACAUUUAUGAUUACUAUUUAUAAAGAAUGAGGAUGGAAAAUGUUUAAACAUUUAUUUGAGACAGAGUUUUGCAUUAUUUCAUUAAAAUAAUUAAAUUCUUUUUUGGGGAAUGAAGGACAAACAGGGAAAACAGACAAAGCUGCUAUUCUAUGAAUUUUAAAUUGUAUUUAUUUACAUUUGAUUGAUUAGUUGAAGAUUAACCACAAGUAUUCAGCAUAGUACAAAAUUAAGGAUGCACUGCAAGUGUAUAUUAUCUUUAUAGUUAUCAUCACACUAUGUCCAAUCUAGAUGUACAACACUCUUUUUUAUAGUGUUCUGUAAAUUAUUUAACAGGAACACCAGUUGUGAUGAAUGGGAAGACUGGCAGGCUGAGAAAUGGGUAUAAGGGGAGGGAAUACCCCUGCUUAUCUUUUCAUACUGGUUAGUUCCUUUGGUAAAAGUUUUGUACAAAUGUUGUUCAUAUCAGAUGUAUACGAUUUGAAGAGAGUUGUUAUUUGGAGCUCUGUAAAAAAAAAAAAAAAGAAAAAAAAGAAAAAAAAAAAAAAAAAAAAAGAA